AUGUGGGGACCCUUCCAUGGUUUCUGCGUCGCAGCUAACGCAUUAAGCGCACCGCCUGGGGAGUACGGUCGCAAGACUAAAACUCAAAGGAAUUGACGGGGGCCCGCACAAGCAGCGGAGCAUGCGGCUUAAUUCGAUGCAACGCGAAGAACCUUACCUAGACUAGACAUAUACGGAAAACAUGCAGAGAUGUAUGGUCCUAACGGGCCGUUUACAGGUGGUGCAUGGUUGUCGUCAGCUCGUGUCGUGAGAUGUUGGGUUAAGUCCCGCAACGAGCGCAACCCUCGUUCUAUGUUGCCAGCACGUAAAGGUGGGGACUCAUAGGAGACUGCCGGGGUCAACUCGGAGGAAGGUGGGGAUGACGUCAAAUCAUCAUGCCCCUUAUGUCUAGGGCUGCACGCAUGCUACAAUGGCUGGUACAGAGGGCUGCGAUACCGCAAGGUGGAGCGAAUCCCAAAAAGCCAGUCUCAGUUCGGAUUGGGGUCUGCAACUCGACCCCAUGAAGUUGGAGUUGCUAGUAAUCGCAGAUCAGCAACGCUGCGGUGAUACGUUCCCGGGCAUUGUACACACCGCCCGUCACGUCACGAAAGUC
rnacentral:rRNA from 1 species